CCUACGGGGGGCUGCAGUGGGGAAUUUUGGACAAUGGGGGCAACCCUGAUCCAGCCAUGCCGCGUGCGGGAAGAAGGCCUUCGGGUUGUAAACCGCUUUUGUCAGGGAAGAAAUCUUCCGAGCUAAUACCUUGGGAGGAUGACGGUACCUGAAGAAUAAGCACCGGCUAACUACGUGCCAGCAGCCGCGGUAAUACGUAGCGGGCAAGCGUGAAUCGAAGUUAGUGGGGGUGAAUGUUGAGCAGAGGGGUGAAAUCCCCGGGCUUAACCUGGGAACUGCACUUGUGACUGUACGGCUGGAGUACGGCAGAGGGGGAUGGAAUUCCGCGUGUAGCAGUGAAAUGCGUAGAUAUGCGGAGGAACACCGAUGGCGAAGGCAGUCCCCUGGGCCUGUACUGACGCUCAUGCACGAAAGCGUGGGGAGCAAACAGGAUUAGAUACCCCAGUAGUC
rnacentral:rRNA from 1 species